AACCUUCGUAGAUUGAAUCUCCAA
rnacentral:snRNA from 1 species